UAGGGAAUCUUCGGCAAUGGGGGGCAACCCUGACCGAGCAACGCCGCGCGAGUGAAGAAGGUUUUCGGAUCGUAAAGCUCUGUUGUAAGAGAAGAACGUGUGUGAGAGUGGAAAGUUCACACAGUGACGGUAACUUACCAGAAAGGGACGGCUAACUACGUGCCAG
rnacentral:rRNA from 1 species